rnacentral:rRNA from 1 species
GACGUAGGAGGCGAGCGUUGUCCGGAUUCAUUGGGCGUAAAGAGCACGCAGGCGGUUUGUUAAGUGCAGGGUGAAAGCUCCCGGCUCAACUGGGAGAGGUCCUUGCAUACUGGCGAACUCGAGGGAGGCAGAGGAAAGUGGAAUUCCCGGUGUAGUGGUGAUAUGCGUAGAUAUCGGGAGGAACACCUGUGGCGAAGGCGGCUUUCUGGGCCUUACCUGACGCUGAGACGCGAAAGCGUGGGGAGCGAACCGG